rnacentral:rRNA from 1 species
CGAUUCGAGUGGCGGACGGGUGAGUAACGCGUGGGUAACCUGCCUUACACAGGGGGAUAACACCUGGAAACAGGUGCUAAUACCGCAUAAGCGCACAGGGCCGCAUGGCCCGGUGUGAAAAACUCCGGUGGUGUAAGAUGGACCCGCGUCUGAUUAGCUUGUUGGCGGGGUAGGGGCCCACCAAGGCGACGAUCAGUAGCCGGCCUGAGAGGGUGAACGGCCACAUUGGGACUGAGACACGGCCCAAACUCCUACGGAAGGCAGCAG